UCUCCUGGGAAACGGGUGGUAAUGCCGGAUGCUCCAGUUGAUCGCAUGGUCUUCUGGGAAAGCCUUUGCGGCAUGGGAUGGGGUCGCGUCCUAUCAGCUUGAUGGCGGGGUAACGGCCCACCAUGGCUUCGACGGGUAGCCGGCCUGAGAGGGCGACCGGCCACAUUGGGACUGAGAUACGGCCCAGACUCCUACGGGAGGCAGCAGUGGGGAAUAUUGCACAAUGGGCGCAAGCCUGAUGCAGCGACGCCGCGUGAGGGAUGGAGGCCUUCGGGUUGUAAACCUCUUUUGUUAGGGAGCAAGGCAUUUUGUGUUGAGUGUACCUUUCGAAUAAGCACCGGCUAACUACGUGCCAGCAGCCGCGGUAAUACGUAGGGUGCAAGCGUUAUCCGGAAUUAUUGGGCGUAAAGGGCUCGUAGGCGGUUCGUCGCGUCCGGUGUGAAAGUCCAUCGCUUAACGGUGGAUCCGCGCCGGGUACGGGCGGGCUUGAGUGCGGUAGGGGAGACUGGAAUUCCCGGUGUAACGGUGGAAUGUGUAGAUAUCGGGAAAGAACACCA
rnacentral:rRNA from 1 species